rnacentral:lncRNA from 1 species
AAGCCAACUUUUUUUCUUUUUUUUUUUUUACUUUUUUUUUUUUUUUUUUUCUUCCCUAUGUCUCUUUUCUCCCUUUGUUUUUGGUAGUGAUAUUACUUGUUGGUAAAAUCAUAUUUUGUUCCAGUCAGGUCUUCUCUUCAAUGAGUUUAAGAUGAGGAGAUACAAAACCUGACCCAGGCUUUUUCAGGUUGUUUGUGGUUCAAGUAACCCACCUGAAAGCCUUAAUUUUUGACAUCUGCACAUAACAGCUGGUAAUGAGCAUUUGGAUUCUGAAAGUCUCUAGUUUUUAAUCUCUUGCAUUAUACUUGUUAAUAAGGAUAGAUUGAAAACAGUUGUGGCAGUGGUUGAGGGGGUUAUUAGAAGACAUAAUUGCUUCAACUAUUGUUUUAAACAUUACUUUUUUUCUUCUUCCUGCGCAUUUUGUCCUCAUUACAGCUAUCUAUUACAGAUUCCAUACCCUGCAACACAAGACUUCAAACUGAUAAAAUUGAUUCUAACUACUACAUUUUUCUACUGAAGUGGAGUUCAGGAAGCCUUUUUGAACAGAAAUCAUUUCCAUCUGCGAGAAGCUUCACCUACUGACAUCGUGGCUCUGAUAUUGAAGGAAUGAGACCUCAGGAGGAAUGACAAGACACACUUCUCUUGUGAUGAAGCAGGACUCGUCAUUCACUUUGUGAAUACUAGGACCUUGAGUUUCUGGCUCCUUGGAGCCUGGUGUAUGGCCUCACCUACUAUUCUAUAUAUUCCCACUGAUUCCUAUAUUCAAUAUAUUAAACCAGCUGGAAUCUAUCCAGCUGGUUUAAACACCCACAACUGUCUCUGAGGGAAGGCCUGAUUUUGUAUCCACACUUCCCCCCUCACAACACCAUUGCUACCAUGGUUUCUCAAUAUUUCUUUUCUCUUUGACUUUGUAUAAAAUUUCUAUAGUGACAGUAACAAAAAACAGGAACAUUUUCUAAAAAUACACUAGGUAUUUCUUUAUGUAAUGGACUUCUGGACAGCAUUUAGAUCCUUGCAGUGGCUGAGAACAUACAUCUCCAGGGCCUCUGUAACUUUCUGCAAGGAUCUGUACAUAGUGAUAAAUAGCAUUAUGUAAAUUAGACUUGCUGUGCUUGACUCCUGUAAAAUAUGCCAUUCCUAUAAAAAGCACUUUUGAAAGGAGACAGAAAACAAAGCUCAAGGGAUGAUAUUGUACUUCCUUGGUGUUUUUCAGACUAUGAUA